rnacentral:sRNA from 1 species
GGCGCCCCACGCGCGCGCGUCGCUCUCCCGCCCGCUCGCUCCCCGGCGCUCACACCUGAGCUCACUCCCCGCUCGGCCCCGCGGAAGCUCCGCCGCGCCAUGUCUUCGCCUCCCGAAGGGAAACUAGAGACUAAAGCUGGACACCCGCCCGCCGUGAAAGCUGGUGGAAUGCGAAUUGUGCAGAAACACCCACAUACAGGAGACACCAAAGAAGAGAAAGACAAGGAUGACCAGGAAUGGGAAAGCCCCAGGUCCCAGCCUCCUUCUAAGAUUGUCACACUCCCAUCUACACCGGCAGGACUGUUUUGAUCUGAUGGAAGGAGGGAAGAAAGGAAAUGGGGCUGUCAGUUCUCCCUUCCAGGCUCUGCUCUGUGUGUCUGCACGCAGUCAUCCUCUUGGAACGGAGGCUCCUUUGUUUUUAUGGUGUGACUCGAAAGGUUGCACUAUUUAUCAGGAGUGUUUUCUUAUUACAUAAACAUAUGAACUGAAUUUAAAUCAACUCUCCAGUGCUUGGAUUUUAUAGAAUGAAAUAUGUAAUAAUAACCACAUCAAAGUAAGAGCCCUUAUUGAGUUUAUUACAUUAAAAUGACUAGGCCUGAAGUUUUUAAGUCCUUUUUAUCUAAAUAAGCCCUGUUGACUUCAAUUGUCUCAGAAGGCAAAGCACUCAGAAAACACUUGGUAAAUCAGUAAUAAUUAUCUUGGACUUUGAUUCUCUAAAGAUAAAAUAGUCAAUUAAUUUGAUUACUU